rnacentral:lncRNA from 1 species
AAAAAGAAGCAGGCCCUUGCCAGAUACGAGUUUGCCAAUGCCUUGAUCUUGGAAUUCCCAGCCUCCAGAACUGUGAGCAAAAGGAUGUGUGUAUGUUCACCCAUACGCUGCACAAAUAUGUAAUGGACACCAGCCAUGACCAGCCUACUGGGGACUGCUUGGCAGUAGCAACACGGCAGCGAACAAGACAGAUGAGCCUCCUGCCCACAGAAGCUUACAUUCGGGUGGAAUACAGGCUGCAUGAGCAAAGAAGAUGACCACACACCUGGGGGAGAGUCAGAUGGCUUCUUCAAUUGGAACGUUCUUCCCUAAGGAUGAGCUAAUAUAGCACAUGACCUGAAAAUCCUUCUGGGAGACUCCAGGUUCUCUGUCUCCAAGCUGGAAAACAAAAGAGGCUGCAAUGGGACAGAGAAGGGCUUCCUGCUGAGGAGAUGAGUGGGCUUAAGAAUUUGCAAGAUCAAAAAUCAAAACAAUUAAACCCAUGGAGAUAGAGUAGAAGGAGAGUGAACAGAGGCUGGGAAGGGUAAUGGGAGAGUUGGUGGGGAGGAGGCAGAUGGUUAACGGGUACAAAAAAA